rnacentral:rRNA from 1 species
AUUGAACGCUGGCGGCAGGCCUAACACAUGCAAGUCGAACGGAGUGGCGGACGGGUGAGUAAUACUUAGGCAUCUGCCUAUUAAUGGGGGACAACAUCUCGAAAGGGAUGCUAAUACCGCCUAUUAAUAGAUGAGCCUACGUCGGAUUAGCUAGUUGGUGGGGUAAAGGCCUACCAAGGCGACGAUCUGUAGCGGGUCUGAGAGGAUGAUCCGCCACACUGGGACUGAGACACGGCCCAGACGCCUACGGGAGGCAGCAGUGGGGAAUAUUGGACAAUGGGGGGAACCCUGAUCCAGCCAUGCCGCGUGUGUGAAGAAGGCCUUAUGGUUGUAAAGCACUUUAAGCGAGGAGGCGUUACUCGCAGAAUAAGCACCGGCUAACUCUGGGCCAGCAGCCGCGGUAAUC